UCAUCUGCAGGUUCACUGCCAUCCUCCUUCUUUAAUUUUUCACCCACGGUUAGAGGAAUUGCAACUGGAUUGCAGUCCUCAAGUCCGAACUUAGUAAGUAGAGACUUAGCAUACUUACUUUGGUGAAUAAAAACUCCUUGAUUGGUCUGCAAUACACCAAUCCCUAGAAAGUGAUGAAGAAGCCCUAGGUCUGACAUUUCAUACCUCUGCAUCAUCUCCCUCUUAAACUCAGUCAUCAUCCUUUCACUACUUCCAGUAUACACUAUAUCAUCAACAUAUAUUGAGAUAAUGAUCUGGCCUCCUUCACUAUCACUUCUGGUGUACAAAGUUGCUUCACUUGCACUCCUUUCAAAUUUGCAACUUGUAAGAUAAGCAUCGAUUUCACUAUACCAGGCUCUAGGGGCUUGUUUAAGUCCAUAUAGAGCCUUGUAUAGUUUAUACACCUUGUGGCUGGACCCCUUCACUUCAAACCCCUCGGGUUGCUCCACAUACACCUCCUCGUCAAGCAUUCCAUUUAGAAAUGCUGACUUAACAUCUAGUUGGAAUAAUUUCCAACCCUUUUGAGCUGCCAACGCAAUGAGAGUCCUUAUAGUAUCCAACCUUGCUACUGGAGCAAAAGUCUCAUUGUAAUCCACCCCUGGUUUUUGAGCAUAUCCCUUGGCUACAAGUCUAGCCUUAUGCUUGUGUAUGGACCCAUCAAGAUUGAGCUUUGUCUUGAAGACCCAUUUCACACCUAUCACAGGCGCAUCAGAAGGUCUGUCAAUCAGCUCCCAGGUGAGCUUAACUGAUCAAUGCCAUCAUAAUUCUGUGCAACAUCUACAUUUGUUUCUUCUACUUCACUCUCUUCUUUGUUGCAUUCAAACCUUAGUUGCUGUGUGACUGAUUCCAUGUGAUUUUCAGUCCAAUUCCAGAACCUGCUCUCAUCAAAAACAACACUUCUUGACAGCACUAUCUUCUUUGAAUCCAGAAUAUACACCCGAUAUCCUUUCUCACAACUUCCAUAACCCAUAAACACUCCCUUCUCUGCCUUACUGUCCAGUUUCUGUCUUAGUGCUGCUGGAAUGAGUGUGUAACAUACACACCCAAACACCCUUAAGUGUUUAAUUCCAGGCUUCCUUCCCGUGAAGGCUUCAAAUGGUGUCUUACCCUCCACAGCUGAUGUAACACACCUAUUUUGAAGAUACACAGCAGUAUUCACUGCCUCUCCCCAGAAUUCAGUGGGUAUUCCUUUCUCAAUCAACAUUGAUCUUGCCAUUUCUCCUAUGGUCCUAUUUCUCCUCUCAGCCACUCCAUUCUGCUGAGGAGAAUAGGCUACUGUGAGCUGCCUCUCCACACCCAGACUUGCACAAUAAUUCUGAAAUUCAUAGGAGAUUUAUUUCGGAGGAAAUAUACCCAACACAUUCUAGAGUAGUCAUCAAUAAAGGUAAGAAAGUACCUAUUCCCACCAAUUGAUUCUGCCUGCAUUGGUCCACAGAGGUCAGUAUGCACAAGUUCCAGUGGAUGUUUGGCUCUCCAUGCUUCCCCUUGAUUAAAUUUCUCUCGGUGAUGCUUCCCUUUUACACAGCCUUCACACACAUUCCU